rnacentral:rRNA from 1 species
AUUGAACGUUGGCGGCAGGCCUAAUACAUGCAAGUCGAACGAGAAAGCACUUCGGUGUGAGUACAGUGGCGGACGGGUGAGUAACGCGUAGGAAUCUACCCAGUAGUUGGGGACAACCCGAGGAAACUCGGGCUAAUACCGAAUAUGCACUACGGUGUAAAGAAGGCCUCUAUUUAUAAGCUUUCGCUAUUGGAGGAGCCUGCGUAGGAUUAGUUUGUUGGUGGGGUAAUGGCCUACCAAGACUACGAUCCUUAGCUGGUCUGAGAGGACGAUCAGCCACACUGGAACUGAGACACGGUCCAGACUCCUACGGGGGGCAGCAGUAGGGAAUCUUGGGCAAUGGGCGCAAGCCUGACCCAGCCAUGCCGCGUGUGUGAAGAAGGCUCUAGGGUUGUAAAGCACUUUCAGUGGUGAAGAUAAGCUGUGGAUUAAUACUCCACGGUCUAGACGUUAACCACAGAAGAAGAUCCGGCUAACUCCG